rnacentral:rRNA from 1 species
CAGUCGCCACGGGAAUACGAAGGGGGCUAGCGUUGUUCGGAAUUACUGGGCGUAAAGCGCACGUAGGCGGACAUUUAAGUCAGGGGUGAAAUCCCGGGGCUCAACCCCGGAACUGCCUUUGAUACUGGGUGUCUAGAGUAUGGAAGAGGUGAGUGGAAUUCCGAGUGUAGAGGUGAAAUUCGUAGAUAUUCGGAGGAACACCAGUGGCGAAGGCGGCUCACUGGUCCAUUACUGACGCUGAGGUGCGAAAGCGUGGGGAGCAAACAGGAUUAGAUACCCCUGUAGUCCCUGUCUCUUAUAC